CAGGUGACAUAGGUGACACAGGUGACACAGGUGGCACAGGUGGCACAGGUGACACAGGUGGCACAGGUGACACAGGUGACACAGGUGACACAGGUG